UACCCGCUGAACUUAAGCAUAUCAUUAAGCGGAGGAAAAGAAACUAACUAGGAUGCCCUUAGUAACGGUGAGCGAACCGGGCAAAGCCCAACUUGAAAAACACCAGCCUCCGGCUGGCGAAUUGUAGUCUAGAGAAGUGCUCUCUGCGCCAGUCCGGUCCCAAGUCCCCUGGAAAGGGGCGUCAGAGAGGGUGAGAACCCCGUUGGGACCGGAUCCUGGGGCUCCACGAGACGCUUUCUCAGAUUCUGGUUGUUUGGGAAUGCAGCCCAAAGCAGGUGGUAAAUCCCAUCUAAGGCUAAAUACAGACGGGAUACCGAUAGCGAACAAUUACCGCGAGGGAAAGAUGAAAAUAACUUUGAAAAUAGAGUUAACAUUGCUUGAAAUUGUUGAGAGGGAAGUGAUUGGAUCCUACGGGUGCGCCCAGGCACACGCCUGCCUAACGGUUGGCUGAAUGCGCUGGGUGCUGGUCAGCAUGGGUUGGCCGGGCGGGACAAACCCGGGGAUUGCUACCCCGGCUAUGUCGCCUGGCCGACUGAGGAAAGAAGGGCGCUCU
rnacentral:rRNA from 1 species